rnacentral:lncRNA from 1 species
UAGGAGUAAUGGUGCGUUUUAGAUUGAUGAAAUGCAGUGGCAUAUGGAGCCCGAUUUCAAUACCUGUUACAGAAAAGCACGUUAUUUUGUGGAAGGCAGCAUUAACACAAUUU